UUCCCGCCCCCUUCCGGAAGGAGCAACAGGGAGAGGAGCAGCUCCUGCACCUUGACCCGUCUGGACGGGGCGCCAAGUUGCGUCCCCGCGGUGCCCCCCUCUCUCCAAGGGCGCCAGGGGCCGCCGGGCCAGGGGGACCUCCGUGCGCCCGGGGGCCACCGUGCCUGGAGCUGGUGCCUCCCGCUGCCUCGAUACCCGCCGAGCGCCGGCAGCCCCUCUCUCCCCCCUUCCACGCCGCCUGGCCGACGUUAGCUGUGCGAAGGGUUUGGGGGCAAUAGAACGGGGGGGAAAAACCCCAAAAUCGAUUUUUGCCUCCGAUAGGUUCCCAGGGCAGAGCCGGCGAGCUGCUCGGCGGAGCCGCGGCGAGGGACCGGCAGCUGCGAGCGACCGCAAGCCCCGGCGAGGACGCGCGAGAUUCGCUCCCAGGCGAGGAGAGAAAACCUAUGGCAGACUCUAAAAAAACUCUGUUUUUAAUCUGAUGCUUACAAACCUGUGAAAUCUGCGCGCGAAAGUCUCGUAGAGGAGUAUGAAGACGAAACGUGCUCACUUAUCGCCCCAGAGGCAGACUAUCUAGCUGACAAGCUGUGCAGUGAAAAAUCAGGUGCCUGCGAAGAAUUUGCUCCUUGCACAGAGUUAGAGAAGAGAUCAGCUACUCCUUUUACAGAGCGAAGUAAGAUGACAACACCAUUUUUUUCUUGAGAUAUCAAGUAUCGAUUGCUUUCUUUUCUUGCCACUGUAGUGCCUCCUGUAUUUUUUACUUUAAAUGUCCACACAUUCCUUAUUCUUUCAUUUUAGGUGGCUUUCUAUUAAAGCAUUUUAAAUUGAAAUAUGCUGAGUUUUUGCAAGAACAUUAAGUUUAGUAGGGAUUUGGCUAGUGGCCUUAUUUCUUGUGUUUAAAUUUUUUUGUACUCCAAGGUAUUCCUCUCAAUUGUGCUGUUUUUCACAAAAAUAAAAGAAUUUUAAAGAAUGUAAAAGAAUUAGAGUAUGUAAAAAUUGAGAUUUCCGCUUAAACAGAAAAUGAUAACUAAUACGAUUGCAAUAAACUCGUUACUUUUUCAUUUUUCAUUACUCCUUUGUUUUAACAGAUAAUCAAUUUGUUUGUAUUUCUGUACUAGAAAAGAGUUUAGAGUGCUGCUCAGUUUAUAUUCCUGCUCUUGAGAUGUUGAUGGGAAACUUCCCAAAUAUUUAUUCUUCUAAAGGUGAAAUAACUUACUGAAAUGCGUGUAGUUUCCUUAAAACAAACCAUUCCUUAAAAUUUCCAUAUCAAAGCACUACUGAUCCCGGUGUGAAUGUUCAUAGACCCUGCAAGCAUGAUUGCUGUAUUAACUUAAAAUUAAAGUUUCCUUGAUGGAAAAAUGUCAAAAAACAUCAAAAUAUUCCAGAUAGGUCAUAUGCCUUUCAUUACUGUUUUUUGAUACAAAAAUAUUUACUAAUCAGUGCAAAACAUUUGUCUAUAAAUCUCAAUACUUUGCAAUAUAAUUUUCUUAUAAUCAAUAUCAGCCUUUGGAUAUAUUAAUAAUCUAGCUACCGAUAACUUUCUCAGUAAAAAUCUUUGCUUAAAAUAAUACUUCUUUGCUUAUUAGAAAUAUGUAAGUAUAUUCUGCACUCGUUCCACACGUAGGGUGCCCAGAGCUGUAAUUGCAGGUCAGGGUGCUGGUGUUUGCCCCAAAUGAUGAAGUGUGAGAAUAUGGGCUUCAGGCUCAGAUAUCCUAUGAAAAUGCUGUCUAAAGAGGCUUGAAUUACUGAACUGUGGUUUUAAGGCAAUGAGGAUAGUUCAUUCAAAACAGUACAAAGGUCCCGUAAAAUGUUUAGCGGAAAAGUAAGCUUUAUAACUGAAAAAAAUUCUAAAAAUAUGUAUGUCACCUUUAGUGUAGUUCUAGUAACGACUGGAGAAUGUAAAAUGCUGAAAGGUACUGUGGAAAAAAAACCAUAAUGAUUAAAAAUCUCUUAGUGUAUCUAAGUUUUUUUAAGUUUAUUUACAGAUUUUUUUUCAGUAUUUGUAGAACUAAGUAUUUAGAGGAUAACACAGCCCAUCCCUCGGUCAGUGUAAAUUGUAUCUUCACAGAAGCCGUUCGAGCAACACUGAUUUACAGCAGUGUAACACCUGGUUCCAGAAAUUUGUUACACAAGGAUUUGCUGCCUGAUUGCAUGUUUCUAAAGGUGCUCUAAGUUUUCUCUCAGUGUGGUGCAUCUCCUGCCAUUCCUCACUCACAGUUCAGUUUUGCAGACCACUUCGGCAAAAGUUGCAGGUUGGGUACCAUGGGGCAGCUGCACUGUUUAAAAUGGAAAUACCUGCAGAAUUUAAGGAAGACUUUCUUCACACUUAACCCAGUUCGACAUCAUCUUUCAUGCAUAUGUAAGCAUUCAUUUUUAAAGUAACUUUCAAAUCUUUGAGCUAUCUUUCUGCUUCGUUCUUCAGGGUGGGUUCAGAAUGACCAGCUUUUGCUGAGGUGGGAUCUUCGAUGUGGAGAUUAAAACGGGUUGCGCCCUCACCCCAUGUGCAGGACAUAAAGCCUGACCAGUUAUGCCUUCAGCUGGCUUCAACAGGAAAAUGUUUCUUAUCCAGGCUCAAAUUUUCCUCUCUUUGUUGUUCAAUGCGGGAGACUCAUGAAAGCAACAAAGAAAAUUGAUUAUCGAGGAGAACAGCGCAGUGCGAGGCACCAUCCAUUAUCGAAAGACCAAAAUAAACAAAGCAGGGUAGAAAUACCGGAUCCGUUUUUUUUUGGAGAGGGGGGGUCUUUUUUGUUUCAGAGGGAACUUUUACAAUGUCUGUAACAGCGACUGCUGUAUUAUUUCAGGCAGGUGGAUAUGCACUCCGCAUUGCUCACGAUUUUGAUAUAAAAGAGAACGUGACUACCUGGCCGGGUGGUUUCACUGAGCAUCCACUCCUCUAGUGCCGUGCUCAACGCGUGCACUCGGCCACCGAGGUUAACGCGGUUUAUGCUGAGGAAAUACUGCUAGGCAGCGGUAUUGGUGUACGGCCCUUCGAUACACAUGUCUUUAUUAAAACAACAGUGUGCACAUUUACAUUCUGUCUUUGAAUUUCGCAGUGAUAAACUACCGGAGGAUUUUUGUAUGGCAUCAUGUUGUAUUUACACAUUGAGGAUAAGAUACGGGCCGGAUUCAUCACUGUGUCAUCCCGGCCCUACACUAGUGUAACUCGGGUGCAACUGGAGCAAUGCUGUAGUGGACCACAUCUGAUACUUACUGUGACCAGCCUGCAAAGGACUUUGGGGUAAAUAUUCAGAUUGUUUUAAUAUCGCAUUAUUGAAGCAGAUAUCGAGAAGCAAACUUUAAAUUUGCGAGGCCCUGUGUGAAGCACGCUGAAGUAGGGCUCAGUAAGAAAUGCUGUGUCUAAAAAAGGAUUCAUGCAUUUUAUCUUCUGUGAAUUAGCAGAUUAGGUAAACGAUACGAUGAAGAAUGGCCUGCUUGGGAUCCCGUAUAUCUAGAUAUUUACAUUGCUGUCAUAUCUCAGUGACUAGUGAAAUACUAUUGCUUCACUGCUAAUAAAAAGUAAUCCACUGUAAUAACUGGACAUAGACAGCUUGCCAUCCAGUGCUGUUAUCCUCACUCUCCCCCAACAGAUGAGCAUCUCAAAACCUAUGGAAAAUAGGAGAAAUAUGUCCUGACUACAGACUCUAUUCUCCCUUAUUUAUCUCAACCUACUGUGAUGAAAUCAGAGAGUUACAGACAUGUAUCCAAAGGCAUAAUCAAGCCUUUUAUCACUGCAACAGAAACAUAAAGGUUGUUUGUAAGAAUGGAGGACCAGAUCCUUGCCCAGAGCAAACAGCUUCAGUCGACUGACUUGGAUAGUAGAGCUGUUGCAUCUAAAUUCGGCAGGCUGUGCGUCCCUGGUUUGAGAUGACUAUUAAAAUUACACAUUUAGUUUGGAAUGGUUUAUUUUGCUUUCCAUGCCAAAUAUGCCAGGAAAAGACAACAUUUCUGGUGACAGAUUUUAUUUCAAAUGUGGCUUACUCAGAAGGAGUGGAGGCCACUAAAUUCAUUUCAUUUAGGAACGGAAAGCAGAUGAAGCGAGAUCCUGACUGGGAAAGAUCAAUGCUUUGUUUACUAAGAUAAGCCCUAAAAACAAGGUCGUUCGCUAACAAGUCAUAUUUUCUAUUCAUAUUUGUCUCUGUGGUCUGACAUUUGCUCAUACGUGUGAUAGCUUCAUCAAAAUACAGUUUCUAGAAAAUGCAUUUUACUAGUC